AGUGAACGCUGGCGGUAGGCCUAACACAUGCAAGUCGAACGGCAGCACAGUAAGAGCUUGCUCUUACGGGUGGCGAGUGGCGGACGGGUGAGGAAUACAUCGGAAUCUACUUUUUCGUGGGGGAUAACGUAGGGAAACUUACGCUAAUACCGCAUACGACCUACGGGUGAAAGCAGGGGAUCUUCGGACCUUGCGCGAUUGAAUGAGCCGAUGUCGGAUUAGCUAGUUGGCGGGGUAAAGGCCCACCAAGGCGACGAUCCGUAGCUGGUCUGAGAGGAUGAUCAGCCACACUGGACCUGAGACACGGUCCAGACUCCUACGGGAGGCAGCAGUGGGGAAUAUUGGACAAUGGGCGCAAGCCUGAUCCAGCCAUCCCGCGUGGGUGAAGAAGGCCUUCGGGUUGUAAAGCCCUUUUGUUGGGAAAGAAAAGCAGCAGGUUAAUACCCCGCUGUUCUGACGGUACCCAAAGAAUAAGCACCGGCUAACUUCGUG
rnacentral:rRNA from 1 species